rfam:Triticum aestivum genome assembly, contig: Triticum_aestivum_CS42_TGACv1_scaffold_594263_7BS
AUAGUACUCCCUCCGUCCGAAAAUAUUUGUCGUAUAGAUGGAUAAAAAUGGAUAUAUCUAGAACUAUAAUACGUCUAGAUGCAUCCAUUUCUCCAACAAGUAUUUCCGGACGGAGGGAGUACAAU